rnacentral:lncRNA from 1 species
GGUUCGGUCCCCAGCUCCGAAAAAAAGAACCAAAAAAAAAAAAAAAAAAAAAACAAUAUUCAAAGAGUCUACAAAAUUGUCUUCUUGUAUAUAUCAUACAGUGUGGGUAUGGAAUGCAUACAUGCAUUUGUGUCUUCCAAGAAAUCUCUGUACCUGCUGCAGUUAGGCUAUAACUUAAAGAUUAUGACUGGGAGUAAUGCUCAUAGUUAAUUUGGUUUAUGUCAAAAAGUAAUUGCCUUUUGAGGUCUGGAUCCAGGAAAGGUCCGUGUGGACAUAUAAUUUUACAUAUCCAUGAUUUCUAGAGAUGUAUUAUUUAUUUCCUAGGCUCACCAACAGAUGCUAUAACCAUCUUCCGGUAGAUACCAGGCUGAGAGUGUCUAUUCUAUGGAAUGUGAAUGUCAGAAAUGUUCAAAAUAAAAGUUCUGUUAUCUAUACACAAUUCUAAUUUCAUGUGGCAAUCAAAAGUUGUAUAAGGAAAUUGUCAAUGUCUAAAACUUGAUUAUUUAUAGUUAAAGCUUUGUUUAAAUAAAGAUACCAAACUUCAAUUUCAUAAGU